rnacentral:misc_RNA from 1 species
GAUGAAUAACGUAGCGAAAUGCGAUAAGUAAUGUGAAUUGCAGAAUUCAGUGAAUCAUCGAAUCUUUGAACGCACAUUGCGCCCCCUGGUAUUCCGGGGGGCAUGCCUGUUCGAGCGUCAUUUCACCACUCAAGCCUCGCUUGGUAUUGGGCAACGCGGUCCGCCGCGUGCCUCAAAUCGUCCGGCUGGGUCUUCUGUCCCCUAAGCGUUGUGGAAACUAUUCGCUAAAGGGUGUUCGGGAGGCUACGCCGUAAAACAACCCCAUUUCUAAGGUUGACCUCGGAUCAGGUAGGGAUACCCGCUGAACUUAAGCAUAUCAAUAAGCGGAGGA